ensembl:snoRNA LOC120101295 small nucleolar RNA SNORA17
ACUGCCCCUAAAGGGAUUGCAAAGGUGGUUGCUGUGUCACAUGUGUGUCAUAGGUAGCAGAGAAGAGAGAGGCUAUGUCUACGUUUAGUGUUCUGACAAACAAACAUCUCAAUGAUUAGUAGCCUAACACU